GACGAACGCUGGCGGCGUACCUAAUACAUGCAAGUAGAACGAGUUGCGAACGGGUGAGUAACGCGUGGUAACCUGCCUCAUAGCGGGGGAUAACUACUGGAAACGGUAGCUAAUACCGCAUACCAUCAGCUGUGCCCAGAUGGGAUUAGCUAGUAGGUGGGGUAAUGGCUCCCCUAGGCGACGAUCCCUAGCUGGUCUGAGAGGAUGACCAGCCACACUGGAACUGAGACACGGUCCAGACUCCUACGGGAGGCAGCAGUGGGGAAUAUUGCACAAUGGGCGAAAGCCUGAUGCAGCCAUGCCGCGUGUGUGAAGAAGGCCUUCGGGUUGUAAAGCACUUUCAGCGAGGAGGCGUUACUCGCAGAAGAAGCACCGGCUAACUCCGUGCCAGCAGCCGCGGUAAUUC
rnacentral:rRNA from 1 species